rnacentral:rRNA from 1 species
UGGGGAAUUUUGGACAAUGGGCGAAAGCCUGAUCCAGCAAUGCCGCGUGUGUGAAGAAGGCCUUCGGGUUGUAAAGCACUUUUUGUCCGGAAAGAAAUCCUUGGCUCUAAUACAGUCGGGGGAUGACGGUACCGGAAGAAUAAGCACCGGCUAACUACGUGCCAGCAGCCGCGGUAAUACGUAGGGUGCAAGCGUUAAUCGGAAUUACUGGGCGUAAAGCGUGCGCAGGCGGUUUGCUAAGACCGAUGUGAAAUCCCCGGGCUCAACCUGGGAACUGCAUUGUGACUGGCAGGCUAGAGUAUGGCAGAGGGGGGUAGAAUUCCACGUGUAGCAGUGAAAUGCGUAGAGAUGUGGAGGAAUACCGAUGGCGAAGGCAGCCCCCUGGGCCAAAUACUGACGCUCAUGCACGAAAGCGUGGGGGCAAACAGGAUUAGAUACCCUGGUAGUCCACGCCCUAAACGAUGUCAACUAGUUGUUGGGGAUUCAUUUCCUUAGUAACGUAGCUAACGCGUGAAGUUGACCGCCUGGGGAGUACGGUCGCAAGAUUAAAACUCAAAGGAAUUGACGGGGUCAUAGCUGUUUCCU